rnacentral:tRNA from 1 species
GUUUAAGUAGUUUAUAUUAGAAUAAUAACUUGUGGUGUUAUAGGAGUAUUUUUAUCUUAAAUC